rnacentral:ncRNA from 1 species
GGUCCCCAUUAAGGCAGUGUCUCGAAAAGACUAGGCCAAGGUGGGGGAAGGCUCAUCUCAGGGUGUGGCCACGCCUUCUACUUAUGGUGCCGGGCGUCGGUCUGUCAGAGUGCGUCACAUUGCGGUGCCACUCGCGGCCGAAGGUCUGGGGACGA